GACCCCACGGACCAGAGCGCCUGGGUGUACCUGCGCUGCAUCCUCUCCCGAGCCCCCCCACCGCCGAGGGUCAUCUGCGUCCACAUCGACCGGGAGGACGCGACGGUGGCCGUCAUCUUCUCCCGGCCUGUCAAGGUGAACCCGGAGUGCCCGGAGCUGACGGCGACUCUGGACGGCUCCGCCCUGACCGAGCCCUGGCGCUCGGGGGAGGGGCGGCCACGCCCCAGCC